GAUGAACGCUGGCGGCGUGCCUAAUACAUGCAAGUCGAGCGAACAGACGAGGAGCUUGCUCCUCUGACGUUAGCGGCGGACGGGUGAGUAACACGUGGAUAACCUACCUAUAAGACUGGGAUAACUUCGGGAAACCGGAGCUAAUACCGGAUAAUAUAUUGAACCGCAUGGUUCAAUAGUGAAAGACGGUUUUGCUGGCACUUAUAGAUGGAUCCGCGCCGCAUUAGCAAGGUGGUAAUGUAACGGCUUACCAAGGCAACGAUGCUUAGCCGACCCGAGAGGGCGAUCGGCCACACUGGAGAUAGGACACGGUCCCGACCCCUACGUGAGGCAGCAGUAGGGAACCUUCCGGAAUGAGCGAAAGCUUGUCGGAGCAACGCGGCGUGAGUGAUGACGGUCUUCGCAUCGUAAAACUCUGUUAUUAGGGAGGAAUAAAUGUGUAAGUAACUAUGCACGUCUUGCCGGGACCUAAGAAGAAAGCCCCGGCUAAUUCCGU
rnacentral:rRNA from 1 species